GACGAACGCUGGCGGCGUGCUUAACACAUGCAAGUCGAACGGAAAGGCCCUGCUUGCAUGGUACUCGCGUGGCGCACGGGUGUGUAACACGUGGGUGUACUCCCCUCCACUUCGUGAUAAGCCUUGGAAACAGGGUCUAAUACAGCAUAUAGGCCCUUCUUCGUGUUAUGGUUGGAAAGUUUUUUGGGUGUGGGGUGGGAUCGCGGCCUAUCUGCUUGUUGGUGGGGUAAUGGCCUACCAAGGCGGCGUCGGGUAGCCGGCCUGCGGGGGUGGACGGCCAAAUUGGGACUGGGGAAAGGGCCAGACUCCUAAGGGGGGGAGGAGGGGGGGAUAAUGCAACAUGGGCGCAAGCCUGAUGGAGGGAAGGCGCGGGGGGGAUGACGGGCUUCGGGUUGGAAACUCGUUUCGCUAGGGACGGAGCUUUUUGUGACGGUACCGAGAUAAGAAGCACCGGCUAACUACGUG
rnacentral:rRNA from 1 species